GUGGUGUUUGUGAGCAGCGAGGAGCCAAAGAGUACAGAGGAACAGCAACAGGUUGCUGGCAUCUCCAAGACUCAAAGGCAUCACAAUGUCAGAAAUGGACACAAGUGUCCCAUAUGUGCACAUGUAUAUGCUGAUAUUGUUCAGCACCUAAGAGUCACAGAGAAGGUGGUAAAUGAAACUGAGCUGCUUCUUUUGAGCCAAUUUUCUCAUCGGCAGUAAGUGUCUUAAUAAAUUCUGAAAGAGACUAAAUUUACAUCUAUUUGUCCGUACACAUGUUUUCGAAUCACUGCAUUUAUUUAAUUGCUAACUUUUAUAUACACCCAAUUUCUAUUUCAUCCUACUCAGCAUUUUAUUUUGACUAUUUUUACAGCUUUUCUGCAAAUCUGGACUGUCCAGUCCGCUUAUGUCAGUCAAAACAUCUUAAUCGGCUUGAUAAGCACCUGGAAAAGGUCCACAAAUUACAGAAACCUGUGAUUAAACUUUACAUGCAAAAGGCCAAGGACAGACACGUUGCUAAAGAACUGGCACUUCUGAGGGCAUCAAAUCCCACACCGCAAAUGGUCUCACAUGUUGAUGAAGUGGAUGAUGCAGUAAUUGAGGAGGCCAUCUUUAGGGCACUGGAGGAAGGGUCAAAGGUUGCUUCUCCUAUAGUCUCUUCCAGCAAGGCUCCCAGUGACCAUGCUACACCGAUCCACCGGCCUGCUCCUCCCUCUGACAGGGAGGCUCCCAGUGACUCUACCAGACCAAACCUACAGCCUCCUCUCUCUGCCAGUGCCACUCUCAGUGACCACACCAUCCCAAUUAUGCAGCCUCCUUCUAUCUCCACCAGCAAGAUUACUUGUGAUUCAACAGUGGUAUCCCCUGAUGUGUUAAUCCCAAGCAGUGCACCUUACUAUGCAGUACAGCAGUGGAGGGGACGUCCUCUCCUGAGGACACCUGCUCCUGGUUGCAAAAACUGUCAGAUACUGUUCACUGAGCUACAGGUGGUGAAGCAGUUGCUAGAGUGUGAAAUUGAAAGGAAUCAUGAGCUCAAGCAGAUACAUUCUUCAGCCAAGCAUCCAAAUGUUAAAAAUAGCAGACGUAAACGUUUUUCACCCAGCAAAAUCCCUCACUAUGUAAGACUUGUGGAGGAAUUUAGGGCCCAUGCAGAAGGUGUGAACCCUAGCAGAAAUCUACGUGAAAAUGCAAGGCAGCGAGCCACUCAUGUCAUCCAUUUUCUGGAAUUCAUGGCAGACCCAGCAAUUCCAAACGUUGACCUUCUGUUUCUGAGGAACCAUGGAAAAGUCCGUGAUUUUCUAGCACACCUGCAAGCAAAAGGGUUUAAACCAACAACUCAGAGAGCUUAUCUGAUGGAUGCUGUUGCUUUCACGAAAUAUAUAUUAAACAUGUCACCACCACAAGUCAGACUUGGAAUUAAAAGGAUCAACGCCCUUUUGGUCGAACUGAGGGCACGUAACAGAGAUGUUGGCCGUGAAGUAGUCGUGUACCAGCUGAAUGUGCGGAGAUCUAAGUCUAACAGACUUAUCCAAGCAGAAAAACAUGCUUUGUUCAUUGAAGAGGCUCCCCAGAAGAUUGCUGCCGCACUGGAUUACCUCGAGAAGCAACCCCAGAACAGAUCAAUAGUAAAAUUGUUUUUUGGACUGUUGGGUGGAUACCUCAUUGCCAUAACUGGCCACCGAAAGGGAGUGGUCAUCAACAUGACUACUGAGGAGGUUGAAAUGGCAGAAAAAACUAAGCAGGGUGCCCGCAUCAUCCGUAUUAAACAGCACAAGACUCAAAGAUACCAUGGGCAAGCAGCUGUCCCCCUGUACAAGAAUGAGUAUACCUGGUUGCAGCGUUACAAUCAUAUUAGAGAGUAUAUUGAAGGGGGUUCGGAGGCACCGACUUUUUUCCACAGUUCCAGUGGAGGUGUUCUUCAUAGACUACCGGUAUUUUUCAAGGCAGCCUGGGAGAUGAUGAAUCUGGGGAUUGCCCCCACCUUCAACAUGAUACGUUCCUCCUGUAGCACUUACGCCAAGCGACAGUUGGGACGUAAAUCUUACUACAGAGUGGCAACGUUUAUGUGCCAUGAUGCCGUCACAGCCAAAAGAUUUUACCAAGCUGAGGAACCUGCAGAGGACACACUCCAGAGCCGAGCACUGACAACAAAUGCAAUUGCAACAUAUGCAGCAAAUAAAAGGAAAAGGAGAGCGGACAGAGGGUCUAUGCAGGACAAGGACAGUCAUGGAUGUGACAAGGAAGAGCAGCAGUCAUCAGUAACAGAGGAGCUUUUAGACAGAAGGCUCUUCCAGUGUAGCAGUAACAAGAUGGUCAUCUUUUACAAAAAUGAUAGGACAGGUGUGAGGAAACUCACACAAGAAGACAAUCCAGAAGAGGACGAGGAGGAGGAUGAAGCGAGAGAAUGGGUUCCUAAGCAGUCUGUGAGCUCAUCUGAAGAUGAUGGGACAGAUGACUGGAAACCCACACAGGAAGAAUCUGAAGGCUAUUCAGAAGAGGAGGAAGAACAAAAACGGAAAAGGGUUCCUAAGGACAGGGAAACGGCGAUGAGCUCAUUACCAGUACAACACCAAAUUCCAGUUGUUACUCUGAAUUCAGUCACUCUCAAGGUAAGAACAAUUGAUUACAAAUGUCAACAAGUAUCAAUUCAAUUCAAUAAAACUUUAUUGAUCCUGAAGGUUGACCCCGAGGGAAAUUGGGUUAAGGCUGCCGACCUUUGCCAGCGCCGACUUACCCUUCUGACCAUACAUACAUUACACAAACAUCACAUGGGGAAGACAGGUCAGAGAGGUUUAACAAUGGAAAAAUGCACAACAUGA
ensembl:lncRNA